rnacentral:misc_RNA from 1 species
AAGGAUCAUUAGUGAAUUUGAGUGCUUCUUUUAUGAAGGCUCGACCUCCACUUCUAACACUGUGCAUUACAAUUUGGCUCGGUUUGACUUUCAUUAGUCGGGCCAGCCUUAUUAUCUUACAAACUUCAGUUAAAGAAUGUAACAAACCUAAAACAAAAAAAACUUUCAACAACGGAUCUCUUGGCUCUC